AACGUAGGACGCAAGCGUUAUCCGGAAUUACUGGGCGUAAAGCGCGUGUAGGUGGUUGCAUAAGUCACUGUUGAAAGCUCCCGGCUAAACUGGGAGAGGUGCGGUGAGACUGUGCGGCUAGAGUAUGGGAGAGGGAUGCAGAAUUCCGGGUGUAGUGGUGAAAUGCGUAGAGAUCCGGAGGAAUACCAGAGGCGAAGGCGGCAUCCUGGCCUAUAACUGACACUGAGACGCGAAAGCAUGGGGAGCGAACGGG
rnacentral:rRNA from 1 species